rnacentral:rRNA from 1 species
CAAUAGCGUAUAUUAAAGUUGUUGCAGUUAAAAAGCUCGUAGUUGGAUUUCUGAAAUGAAUAUCCGGUCCGCUCGUCUCUGAUGAGUGCGUACUUAUGGAUAUUGGAUUCAUUUUUUGUGAGGACAUUUAUCUGUCAUUAAGUUGAUGGAUUUAUAGACUUGCAUCGUUUACUGUGAAAAAAUUAGAGUGUUUAAAGCAGGCGUUCGCCCAUUUGAAUACAUUAGCAUGGAAUAAUAAGAUAUGACUUUGGUGGUCUAUUUUGUUGGUUUGCACACCAGAGUAAUGAUUAAUAGGGACAGUUGGGGGUAUUCAUAUUUCAACGUCAGAGGUGAAAUUCUUAGAUCGUUGAAAGAUGACCUUAGGCGAAAGCAUUUACCAUGGAUGUUUUCAUUA